UAGGGAAUCUUCCGCAAUGGGCGAAAUCCUGACGGAGCAACGCCGCGUGAGUGAUGAAGGUCUUCGGAUCGUAAAACUCUGUUAUUAGGGAAGAACAAAUGUGUAAGUAACUAUGCACGUCUUGACGGUACCUAAUCAGAAAGCCACGGCUAACUACGUGCCAGCAGCCGCGGUAAUACGUAGGUGGCAAGCGUUAUCCGGAAUUAUUGGGCGUAAAGCGCGCGUAGGCGGUUUUUUAAGUCUGAUGUGAAAGCCCACGGCUCAACCGUGGAGGGUCAUUGGAAACUGGAAAACUUGAGUGCAGAAGAGGAAAGUGGAAUUCCAUGUGUAGCGGUGAAAUGCGCAGAGAUAUGGAGGAACACCAGUGGAGAAGGCGACUUUCUGGUCUGUAACUGACGCUGAUGUGCGAAAGCGUGGGGAUCAAACAGG
rnacentral:rRNA from 1 species